rnacentral:tRNA from 1 species
AAAUAGUUGGCGUAGGGAGCGUAUACGAUUUCGGGUCGUAAGGGAAACGUAAAGUUUACUAUUUG